UACGGAAGGCAGCAGUGGGGAAUAUUGCACAAUGGGCGAAAGCCUGAUGCAGCUAUGCCGCGUGUAUGAAGAAGGCCUUAGGGUUGUAAAGUACUUUCAUCGGGGAGGAAAAAACAAAACUAAUAAUUUUAUUUCUUGACGUUACCCGAAAAAGAAGCACCGGCUAACUCCGUGCCAGCAGCCGCGGUAAUACGGAGGGUGCUAGCGUUAAUCAGAAUUACUGGGCGUAAAGAGCACGUAGGUGGUUUUUUAAGUCAGAUGUGAAAUCCCCUGGGCUUAACCUAGGAACUGCAUUUUGAAAACUGAAAAUACUAGAGUAUCGUAGAGGGAGGUAGAAUUCUAGGUGUAGCGGUGAAAUGCGUAGAUAUCUGGAGGAAAUACCUGUGGCGAAAGCGGCCUCCUAAACGAAUACUGACACUGAGGUGCGAAAGCGUGGGGAGCAAACAGGGAUUAGAUACC
rnacentral:rRNA from 1 species